UCGAGGAUCUUCGGCAAUGGGCGCAAGCCUGACCGAGCGACGCCGCGUGUGCGAUGAAGGCCUUCGGGUUGUAAAGCACUGUCGAGGGGAAGAAAAGCCCGAAAGGGUUUGAUCGACCUCUGGAGGAAGCACGGGCUAAGUUCGUGCCAGCAGCCGCGGUAAGACGAACCGUGCGAACGUUGUUCGGAAUCACUGGGCUUAAAGGGCGCGUAGGCGGGCUGCUAAGUCAGGGGUGAAAGCCCACGGCCCAACCGUGGAAGUGCCUUUGAUACUGCCAGCCUCGAGGGAGGUAGGGGCGUGCGGAACUUCCGGUGGAGCGGUGAAAUGCGUAGAUAUCGGAAGGAACACCGGUGGCGAAAGCGGCGCGCUGGACCUCUUCUGACGCUGAGGCGCGAAAGCCAGGGGAGCAAACGGGAUUAGAUACCCGCGUAGUCC
rnacentral:rRNA from 1 species